rnacentral:lncRNA from 7 species
GCCUCAGCUGAUUUCUUCUGCUCCCAUUUUCUUCUCAGCCUCUCUAACAGGGAGCCCUUGGACUGCAAACUUGGUUUGAGCAGGGCUGUUAUUUACACGUUCUGCUUUUGUAGGUAGCUUUAUGUUUUUAAUUACACCUCAGAGCAUCUGAAUUGUUCUGCUAUUCCUAAGAGUUUCCUUGAGUGCUAAUUAGAUUGAAACCUUUGGUGCAAUCAAUAGAUUCUCAUCUCGGUACUGACCAAGCCAGUCCCAAACAGUAAUUUACAGCUCUGGUUGUUAUGAAAUCAAUACAGAUUUGCUUUUCAUUGAGAGGACUGUAAAGCAUGGGUGACAGCCGGCGUGGUAAGCAGCUGGUGUGGAAAUGGAUCCCUUGCUGGUGUUGGAGAGUGGCCAGAGAGCUUCAGAGAGGAGAAGCUUUGGGAGCAGAGCACGCCUCUUCCACCUGCUGGGCUGAGGAUGCUGAUGGAGCGCUGGGCUCCUGCCCUUCUACUGAGCAGGAGUAUCUUAACGUUAUCAGGAACGAGCUGCAGGAAUCUUCAUGGCAUCGUUUGGUGGAGGGCAGCUCUCAGCCAAGAGCAGGAUAACGAUACAAAUACUGCACUCAUCUCCAAGGAGCCUUCCAGAAACAGCCCCAGGGAAUGAGAAAUAUCUGGGAGCCCAUGGAUCAGCACUGCCACCUCCCUCCAGCGGUGGCCUUCUGGACGCAAUCCCAUGUACAUGUAUGUACCCAAAGAAUGUCACCCUGGUGCUGCUUCCCCUGAUAAGGAUGUUUAAAGAAAUGUUGAUGUUGGCUUUUGGCUCCGAACCCAACAUCCUUGGCAUAGAGGAGGGGUGGCACCGUUACUUGGGGACACUUCAGAGUGAUGUCAAAUGUCCCCCGGCGAUGGGUUAAGGAUGGAAAAUGCCAUUCAAUGCCUAUAGAACAUGGCCAAACUGAGGCUCUGGAGUCUGUGAUCCAGAAUGAUUCCCAUUUACACCCAUGGGGAAGGUCUGUGGGAGGCAUUCCUCCAGCCCAGUAUCCCCCAGUGGCUCCUAGACCUCCCUCCCCCCC